rnacentral:piRNA from 1 species
GAUGACAAGGGGAUGAAGAGCGAC